rnacentral:rRNA from 1 species
UACGUAGGGUGCGAGCGUUGCCCGGAUUUAUUGGGCGUAAAGGGUGCGUAGGUGGCGCCGUAAGUCGGGUGUGAAAUUUCGGAGCUUAACUCCGAAACUGCAUUCGAUACUGCGGUGCUUGAGGACUGGAGAGGAGACUGGAAUUCAUGGUGUAGCAGUGAAAUGCGUAGAGAUCAUGAGGAAGACCAGUGGCGAAGGCGGGUCUCUGGACAGUUCCUGACACUGAGACACGAAGGCCAGGGGAGCAAACGGG